rnacentral:misc_RNA from 1 species
AGAGAGAGAGAGAGAGAGAGUGAGCAGAGAAGGAAAGAACUCGAAAAUGGACGAUUACGCCAGAGAAAUGAUGGACCUCAAGACUCUCGUCACUCGAACCCUGGAGAAGAAGGGCGUCCUCGCUAAGAUCCGGGCUGAACUCAGGGCAAGUGUCUUUGAGGCAAUUGAAGAGGAGGAUAGGGUAAUUGAAAAGGAAGAGGGCUUACCUCCUGCAUUGUUGGGGAGCUGCAAUGAACGCGCAAAGCAACUUCAUGCUUCUCCUUCAGGGAGGUUGCUAACUGCACUGAUAUGUGAAUAUUUGGACUGGGCACAACUGAAUCAUACGCAUAAAGUUUAUCUGCCAGAGUGCAAUUUGCAAAAGGAUUUUUGGAAAGCUGAGUUGAAGGAAUUUAGUAGUAAGAAUGGAUAUGAUAUAAACAGAAAUGGCGAUAGUGGUCCUUUGCUUUUGGAUGUUCUUGAAGGAUUCUUGAAGUUUGAGAAUUUAUCCCAAGGAAGAGGUAUUGGAAGGAGAGUAUCAGAAGCUGAGUCCUUAUCUACCUUAGAUUCAAGGAAUGUUCGAAGACCCUCUUCAUCAUCUGUUGCUGGUGGUUUACCUCCAUUAGGAAGGUGCUGUGCUUUCCUACUUUCCAUUUCUCUCUCUCUCUCCACCCACCCCCCCUCCUCUUCUCCUUUCUUCUCCUUCUCUUUUGCUUUUCUUUGUGUAUAGUCUUUGCUAUUUCUCUUCUCUUGGACUGGUAAUGGUUUUCUUUUGGUUUUUUGGCAUUUUUUUUUUCUAGGCCAGCUUCUUCUCAGACAUCCGGUGAGUUACUAGUCUAAGUGUCAUUUUUACUACUAUAUCCUUGAUUCUUGAUCCCUUUAUCUGAUGCCAUAUGUGAUCACAUCUAGAUAGGAGAGCAGGAUCCUCCAUGUCUAGUUACAGGAAAGAUGAAUAUAAUUGGAGAUAUGACAAUGAUGAACUUCCAGAAGAUGUGAUACGAGCUUCAGCUGCACUGGAAAACCUUCAGUUGGACAGGAAGGCUCACAAUCUAACUACAUCUUGGCGGUAAGUUUUCUCAUCCCCACUGAAACAAAAUUCUUCCAUUAUUGGAAAUGUAAAUUUUGGAUGUGUUCUGGUAAGUAUGACCUGGACAAUGGGAAAAUGGGCCAUAGUUAAGGAGUUGUAAAACCUUGUAGUAGAAGGGGAAAAAGAAUGCUCUAUAUAGUGGAAGUUUAGGCAUUAUUUCCUAGUAGUUUCUCUUGUUCAUGCAUGCAUUCCAUUCGUGGUGCUAAGGGAUUGGCUUGGUACUGUUAGAGUUGAUAAUGUUGAUAUUUGAAAAAUAUCAGUUGUACCUUGUGGAUGUUUUAUAUUGCGCCAGCAAAAUGAUGUAUUUUAAAGCUUAGAAUCCAUCAACCACAGUUGUUUUUUCUACAGCCUUUUUUUUUCUUUCUUUGUUUUGUGAUCCUUUCCUGCUGUACUUUACAUUUUCACCCCAAUCUGGAAUUCCUUGUUAUGCUAGAAUCUGUCAUGCUGUGCGUACUGUUUGGCAUAGUGAAGAUAGAAUGUCAUUUGGGUUGUGUGAAUCCCUGCUUUUUUUGUAUUUGUACAAGUUCCACAACGUAUGAAUGCUGUAAUCAUACACAGAGGUAUCCUUCCUCAUCUUCUAUUUUCCCUCUCUGGUGUGUCGUAUUGAUGGUUUUGAGUGGCUAUAUUGAUUCUGAUUGUGGGCUAGCAAAUGUGUACAAAGAGAUACGUACUAUUUCUAGGCUUCAUAGCUUUGCUUUCUGGAAUUUUACUUUUUGUUUUGUUCAAAACUAGCUUCCUUUGAGUUCUGAUUAUCUGUUUGGGAAAUGAUUCGCUUAAGUAACCUAGUAGUUAAUGUUUUUGGUGUGGUUAGCCUCCUAAGCCUAUGUAUUGGGUUAUGUUGCAGGCGUGCUGGGGAUGGAAUGAGUGAUGAUGAUGGCAGGGUCGACCAUAUUUAGCUGAAUGGCGUCCUCUGUGACACUGCACUUGUAGUUUAGUGUGUAUUUUUAAUUUUAAUCUAUCAAAUGUUUUAUUGACAGGAAAAAAGGGUAGUGAUUUUAUGUAAGUCUUCUCUUUCCUUCUUUUUUCCCCCAAAAUAUGUUGAGGUGAUUUAUUGUUUUGUAUGAGCUUCCUUGAUUUCACUUAUAUUAUGGAAUCCAUUUUGAUACUCCAUAAAUGUAGGCCUCAUUUAGUGUUGUCGUCAAAUUCUCUACAUGUAAAGUUACUUUGAUGGAUACAUUGAUAGAGAUACCAUGUGCUAGUCUGAAAGAAGAAGCCAACUUGCAUCGGUACCCAUUAUAACAUGUAGCAUGAUCAUUUGAUAAGCUAGCUGGGCACAGGGUAGAAUUGUUGAUGUGGAUAAAUAAACUGGGAGUAUGCUUUCAGUAAUUACACUUGUACAUUAGCUUUGGUUGUUCCU